UACAGAGGUGGCAAGCGUUGUUCGGAAUUACUGGGCUUAAAGAGUUCGUAGGCGGCAUGGUAAGUAGGGUGUGAAAUCCCUCGGCUCAACCGAGGAAUUGCGCUCUAAACUACCGUGCUAGAGGAAGCUAGAGGUGAGCGGAACUGAUGGUGGAGCGGUGAAAUGCGUUGAUAUCAUCAGGAACACCGGAGGCGAAGGCGGCUCACUGGGGCUUUUCUGACGCUGAGGAACGAAAGCCAGGGUAGCGAACGGG
rnacentral:rRNA from 1 species